UGGGGAAUUUUGGACAAUGGGGGAAACCCUGAUCCAGCCAUCCCGCGUGUGCGAUGAAGGCCUUCGGGUUGUAAAGCACUUUUGGCAGGAAAGAAACGUCAUGGGUUAAUACCCCGUGAAACUGACGGUACCUGCAGAAUAAGCACCGGCUAACUACGUGCCAGCAGCCGCGGUAAUACGUAGGGUGCAAGCGUUAAUCGGAAUUACUGGGCGUAAAACGUGCGCAGGCGGUUCGGAAAGAAAGAUGUGAAAUCCCAGAGCUCAACUUUGGAACUGCAUUUUUAACUACCGGGCUAGAGUGUGUCAGAGGGAGGUGGAAUUCCGCGUGUAGCAGUGAAAUGCGUAGAUAUGCGGAGGAACACCGAUGGCGAAGGCAGCCUCCUGGGAUAACACUGACGCUCAUGCACGAAAGCGUGGGGAGCAAACAGG
rnacentral:rRNA from 1 species